rnacentral:rRNA from 1 species
GACGAACGCUGGCAGCGUGCUUAACACAUGCAAGUCGAACGGAAAGGCCCUGCUUUUGUGGGGUGCUCGAGUGGCGAACGGGUGAGUAACACGUGAGUAACCUGCCCUUGACUUUGGGAUAACUUCAGGAAACUGGGGCUAAUACCGGAUAGGAGCUCCUGCUGCAUGGUGGGGGUUGGAAAGUUUCGGCGGUUGGGGAUGGACUCGCGGCUUAUCAGCUUGUUGGUGGGGUAGUGGCUUACCAAGGCUUUGACGGGUAGCCGGCCUGAGAGGGUGACCGGCCACAUUGGGACUGAGAUACGGCCCAGACUCCUACGGAAGGCAGCAGUGGGGAAUAUUGCACAAUGGGCGGAAGCCUGAUGCAGCAACGCCGCGUGCGGGAUGACGGCCUUCGGGUUGUAAACCGCUUUCGCCUGUGACGAAGCGUGAGUGACGGUAAUGGGUAAAGAAGCACCGGCUAACUACGUG